CACGUAGUUAGCCGUGGCUUUCUAAUAAGGUACCGUCAAGGUGCGUUCAUUACCUAACGCACUUGUUCUUCCCUUACAACAGAGUUUUACGAUCCGAAAACCUUCAUCACUCACGCGGCGUUGCUCCAUCAGACUUUCGUCCAUUGUGGAAGAUUCCCUACUGCUGCCUCCCGUAGGAGUUUGGGCCGUGUCUCAGUCCCAAUGUGGCCGAUCACCCUCUCAGGUCGGCUAUGCAUCGUUGCCUUGGUAGGCCGUUACCCCACCAACUAGCUAAUGCACCGCGGGCCCAUCCUGUAGUGACGCCGAAGCGCCUUUUAGCUUAAAGCCAUGAGGCUAAAAGAUUAUCCGGUAUUAGCUCCGGUUUCCCGAAGUUAUCCCAGUCUACAGGGCAGGUUGCCCACGUGUUACUCACCCGUCCGCCGCUAAAUCAGAGAAGCAAGCUUCUCGUCAUUCGCUCGACUUGCAUGUAUUAGGCACGCCGCCAGCGUUCGUCCUGAGCCAGGAUCAAACUCU
rnacentral:rRNA from 1 species